rnacentral:pre_miRNA from 1 species
UCCUACUGUGUGUGUGGUUGGCGUUCAGCACCAAGGACAGGUAUGUCUACUGGUGUGUGGAUGGCAUUCAGCACCAAGGACAGGUAUGUCUACUU